AACCUCCGCAAUGUGAGAAAUCGCGACGGGGGGAUCCCAAGUGCCAUUCUUAACGGGAUGGCUUUUCAUUAGUGUAAAGAGCUUUUGGAAUAAGAGCUGGGCAAGACCGGUGCCAGCCGCCGUGGUAACACCGGCAGCUCUAGUGGUAACAAUUUUUAUUGGGCCUAAAGCGUCCGUAGCCGGUUUAAUAAGUCUCUGGUGAAAUCCUGUAGCUUAACUGUGGGAAUUGCUGGAGAUACUAUUAGACUUGAGACCGGGAGAGGUUAGAGGUACUCCCAGGGUAGAGGUGAAAUUCUGUAAUCCUGGGAGGACCGCCUGUUGCGAAGGCGUCUAACUGGAACGGUUCUGACGGUGAGGGACGAAAGUUAGGGGCGCGAACCGGAUUAGAUACCCGGGUAGUCCUAACUGUAAACGAUGCGGACUUGGUGUUGGGGUGGCUUUGAGCUGCUCCAGUGCCGAAGGGAAGCUGUUAAGUCCGCCGCCUGGGAAGUACGGUCGCAAGACUGAAACUUAAAGGAAUU
rnacentral:rRNA from 1 species